rnacentral:rRNA from 1 species
UACGUAGGGUGCAAGCGUUAAUCGGAAUUACUGGGCGUAAAGUGUGCGCAGGCGGCCGCGCAAGUCGAGUGUGAAAGCCCCGAGCUUAACUUGGGAACUGCGCUCGAAACUACGUGGCUGGAGUGUGGCAGAGGAAGGUGGAAUUCCAGGUGUAGCGGUGAAAUGCGUAGAGAUCUGGAGGAACACCGAUGGCGAAGGCAGCCUUCUGGGCCAACACUGACGCUCAUGCACGAAAGCGUGGGGAGCAAACAGG